rnacentral:lncRNA from 1 species
UGUUUAUUUUAGUAUCGGCGUCCAUCCACUAAAAUCAUAUAACUUGAUGGAUUUUUUUUUCUCAGCCAAGAAGAUACACAAAAUCAUAUUCGUAAGUAUAUAAACGAGUAGAAUUGGUCAUAUCACAUAUCCAUUAUUCAAAGUUGUAAAGAUCAUCCUUUCUUGCCUAUAUGAUACUUGAUAAACCAGUCAACUAAUCGCUUUAAGCAAUUAUAUAAUAAAUUAUUUUUCAAAUGUAAUGUAACAACAGGAAAACAAUCAAAAGGAAUUAUAUAUCUCCAAAAGGUUUUGAACAUUAAUUAUCUUUUAAGAGUAAAGUUUUUUUCUUUUUUUUUUGUUCAACAGAGUAAAGUUUUCUAAAUAUAAGUUUAUUUGUGUAUCUGAAAUAGUUAGUUUGAUAGAAUCCAAGUAAAGAAACUUAUACACACCAAGUCAAAAAAUGUUUUUUUUUUUUUGAUUUAACCACUGUGUCCGGCGACCGAAAUCAAC